rnacentral:rRNA from 1 species
UACGUAGGGUGCGAGCGUUACUCGGAAUUACUGGGCGUAAAGCGUGCGCAGGCGGUGAUGUAAGACAGGUGUGAAAUCCCCGGGCUUAACCUGGGAACUGCAUUUGUGACUGCAUCGCUGGAGUGCGGCAGAGGGGGAUGGAAUUCCGCGUGUAGCAGUGAAAUGCGUAGAUAUGCGGAGGAACACCGAUGGCGAAGGCAAUCCCCUGGGCCUGCACUGACGCUGAUGCACGAAAGCGUGGGGAGCAAACAGG